GGAUAUUUUCCAAUAUACCCAUGCAUGUCUAAUUAUAAACUGCUUAUACUGUGAAACUGCGAAUGGCUCAUUAAAUCAUUUAUAUUUUAUUUGAUGGUACCUCUACACGGAUAACCGUAUUAAUUCUAAAGCUAAUACGUGCGUAAAUCCCGACUUCUGGAAGGGACGUAUUUAUUAAAUAAAAGGCCGACCGGGGCUUGCCCCCCCCCGCGGUGAAUCAUGAAAACUUCAAAAAUCACAGGGCCUUGUGCCGGAAAUGUUUCUUUCAAUUUUCCCCCCUAUCAACUUUCGAGGGGGGGAUAGAGGCCCCCCGGGGGGGUAACGGGGGACGGAGGAUUAGGGUUCUAUUCCGGAGAGGGAGCCUAAAAAAA
rnacentral:rRNA from 1 species